CUUUGCACUUUGCUGCUUCAUCCCUGACAAUCAGCCAGGUUUCCUCGACUUUUUGUUUGCACAGCUGAACCUUCAGGCUCCUAUAACGGCAUUGUUCUCAUGGAAUGCUAUUGCGUGCACAUCUAAAUUGACUGGGGCACUCUACUUGCCCCCAUCUCUGUAUUCUCAAUUGAUCUGGGGCAGCCAAGUCCUGAUUUCUCUGAUGUUGAGUGAAACAUGCAUCACAAACACGGUACCUUUUGUUCCUAUCUGGUCCAAGAGCUGCCCUUGAAACCUUGUUGUUGCUGCAGGAAUUGCAGAACAUGGAACCACAGUUGUAGCAGUUGUGCUUCUUCCUUGCAAAGCUAAAAGACAACCGGCACCUGCUGCAUACAGAUUGAUCCUUGCCUGAGAUUGACCUAUGUAAACAAACUGCCACGGAGACAUUCUGCACAUCAAGAAUCUGUGUUGAGUUCAAUAACCUUGGAAGUGAAACGUUGGCUUUUGAUGUGUCUCUGUCAUCUAACACACUGCCAAGAACAUCUCCCCAGACAAAGAUGUCCUUCAGAGAAUCUGUUCCAUAUGCCACGUGUGAUCCUUCAGAUGGUUUCAGCUUAGGCAUCUGGUAACAGGGCAUGAAGGAGCAGGAUAGACUGAGGACAGGUGGAUCAUUGGAGUGGCCUGUGGUAUGAGGACACUGAGAAAGCCUUGGAGUCUAAAACAAUAGCUUGACUAUCAGUUAAUUUACGUAGGCAUGACAGCAAAUGACAAUAUGACAUGUGCUUCGACAUUUCAAAAUGGAGGGAAAAUUGUGGGCGUCAAGCUUUACAACGAGAGCAGUCCAAGAGAACCACGGAUCAUGAUGUUCAAUGUUGUUCCUUUUUCUUCCGUGAAAUGCAAAGUAUUUAUUGGCCCAGGAGAAACAUCGGGAGAACAGAUCCAUCCAUGUUAACGAACGUAGUGAAAUUACAGGCCGCCAAAGAAGAACCAUUAUGCACAUAAAAGAGACCACAGUGCUUUAAAAGAGAAUGCAUGACAAAUUACUUGUUGCUGCUUACCUGCUCAACUCCUCUAGUCGCAGAGCUCCUCCCCUCAAGGCCCCCAGCCAUUGCCGCAAGAGAAGACCAAGCAAAAGAUACAGAGGACAACACCUUGGGGUUAAGUUCGAAACCUCCUUUGAUCAGCAGCGGGAGAAAGCAAAAGAUGGCAGUGAAGCGACAGAAAGAAAGCACGCGGGAAAGAAAAGGGAGCAGAGCUUGAGGGAGAACUGGAGGAGAAGUGUCACUGAAGGCGAGCUGCGCAGCUCGGGGAUCCGGGAAAAGGGAACAGCGGCGACUGUAACCGUGUGUGUUUAAAGAUGAUGAGGAAGAGAACCAGCGGAGGUACUGGACACUAGAGCACAGGCACUGAGAGAAAAGAAAAAGGCUUCCCGGUACUCUCUUCUGCUGUGCCAGCAGCACGGUUGCAGAGUGCAUUCGUUACGGACUGUACUGCUGCUGCUGCUGCUGCUCUUUGGCCGUGUGCAACUGCAGGAUUGAUCAGAUCAGCAUAAACUUCUACUACUACCAUCUUUUGCCAAAAAAGAAGAGAAUUGUAUAACUAAAUGAAGGGGUGUGUCUUGAUUUGGCACAGCACUGGUGACUACUAUCAGACCGAAGGAGCGAGGCGCACCACGCACGGUCGGGGCAUAGAUGCGAAGCACAAACGAGACAGACGAGACGGCCAAGGGAAAAGAUAAGGCUUGUCCUGCCUCUAGAACCGGUUCUUCAUCAUCCCUUUGCUCUCUUGGAAUGUUUUGGUGGCAUUUGCCUACAUUAUGAUUGCCUAUAUGGCAUGAGAGUAGCCUUUUGAAUCCAUACCUGUUCUUGAUCUGUAUCCAUCUGCACUUCAGGAAAGGUGAAACUAGAGAAGCUAAUGUUUGUGAUCAGAACCACAGAUCUACCCCCUCAUAUCUCAUUAGCCAGGUGCACUUAUCCAUGGUCGGUGAAAAAUCGUAUCUUUGAUUGGACCUUAAUUUAUGGGUGAUUUGGCCUGAAAUUAACUGUCGUGGUUGGUGCAUACUGCCUACUAGUGCUAGGAGCACGACGUACCUAGCUAGCUGGUCCUCGGCCACGGUCAUGAAUAAUUGCACUAAGUGGAUGAUUGGUAAUUGUAUGGCCUACUAGACAUAUGCAUGUGCCAAGGUUCUGCUCCCUCGGUUCACAUAUAAGUGUAUUUUUAGGUAUUGUUCUAAGUCAAAUCUAUUAAAAUAAAAAGUUUGAUCUAUUUUAUUAGAAAACAUAGUAACAUUUAUGACACUAAACUAGUACCAUUAGAUCUGUUUUAAAAUGUAGUUUCAUAAUAUAUUGAUUUGAUAUAACAUGUGCUGCUUUUUUUUUUCAAAAAUGUUGGCCAAACUUAAAUUGUUUUGACUUAGAACAAAACCUAGAAGACACUUAUGUGUGAACGGAGAAAAUACGCAACUUGCCCGGAGAGAAUACAAUUGAGCGUAUACAUUCAAUUGGAUUUCGCCUUACUAGUUAUUCGUAUAAAGAAGCUCCAUGAAGCACAGAUCCUUGUUAUAACCAUGCUACUAGUUAGCUUUCAGUAUUGAUUACUCCCUCCGAUCCUAAAUCUAGACGUUUUUUAAAAAUAGAUACAUCGAUAUUUGGACAAAUUUGAGUCAAAAAUUUAAUAUUAGAGGGAGUAACGUUUUGGUUAAUCGAACCUACGUGGCUACGUACCAACUUCCCGUGGCUACAACUGCGAGCCCACCAGUUUAACAAGCAAGAAGCGAGCUCAUGCAUUAGUUGGUAGGAACCCACAUGAUGGUGAGAGGGACAACUUUGGGUGUACCCUAUUGGCGCAACCAACUUUCGAACUUUGCGUACUCACAUGAAUUUCUCUUCGGACCAACGGAGUAUUAUGUCAUCUGCGAGACUAAAAGUGCCCCUCCGUGCGUAUAGCGUACAUUACUCGUAUCGUAGUACGUAUGAGAUGCGAGCUGGGAGAUGAGCAGAGCACACCACACCAGGCAUUUGGAACGGGAGUAUGCUGCUUCUGCUCUCAGCUCUCAACUCUGCCUCCUCUUUAGGGCACAGUGACAUCAUAGAGCGCUUGAAAAUUAGGCAACAAAGUCCAUUGUUGUUUGCUCCACCGCACAAGGCUUUGUGCGGAACCAAAGAGGUGAGAUCCAUGCGU